rnacentral:tRNA from 1 species
GGAGAGGUGCCGGAGUCUGGUCGAACGGGCCUCCCUGCUAAGGAGGUGCUGGGGGUAACCCUGGCCGUGGGUUCAAAUCCCACCCUCUCCG